AGCGAACGCUGGCGGCAGGCUUAACACAUGCAAGUCGAGCGGGCAUAGCAAUAUGUCAGCGGCAGACGGGUGAGUAACGCGUGGGAACGUACCUUUUGGUUCGGAACAACUGAGGGAAACUUCAGCUAAUACCGGAUAAGCCCUUACGGGAAAAGAUUUAUCGCCGAAAGAUCGGCCCGCGUCUGAUUAGCUAGUUGGUGAGGUAAUGGCUCACCAAGGCGACGAUCAGUAGCUGGUCUGAGAGGAUGAUCAGCCACAUUGGGACUGAGACACGGCCCAAACUCCUGCGGGAGGCAGCAGUGGGGAAUAUUGGACAAUGGGCGCAAGCCUGAUCCAGCCAUGCCGCGUGAGUGAUGAAGGCCCUAGGGUUGUAAAGCUCUUUUGUGCGGGAAGAUAAUGACGGUACCGCAAGAAUAAGCCCCGGCUAACUUCGUGCCAGCAGCCGCCGUAAUAC
rnacentral:rRNA from 1 species